rnacentral:misc_RNA from 1 species
GAUGAAGAACGCAGCGAAAUGCGAUAAGUAAUGUGAAUUGCAGAAUUCAGUGAAUCAUCGAAUCUUUGAACGCACCUUGCACCCUUUGGCAUUCUGAAGGGUAUGCUCGUUUGAGUGUCAUUGUACUCUCACACUCCCGAUCUUUGCAUUGGGAGCAGUGGACUUGGGUUUGCUGCUUCACCGUCGCUUACCUCAAAUAGGUUAGUGCAACUCUUGGUUGGACAUAGUACGGCGUGAUAAGUGUUCUGCGCCGGUGCCUCGCAAAGAGGGUGGCCGAUCGGGAUGUUGUGCUCCAAACCGUCUUCGGACAAUCUCUGACGACUUGACCUCAAAUCGAGUAAGACUACCCGCUGAACUUAAGCAUAUCAAUAAGCGGAGGA